rnacentral:rRNA from 1 species
ACCAAACAGCUAGCCCCACCCCAUAAAACCAAAAAAUCACCAUAAAUAACCCCAAAUACACAACCCAAUACACCAACUAAAUCAUUUUUCCACCCUAGUACGGGAGACAGAAAAG